rnacentral:rRNA from 1 species
UCAGACGAUGCGUCAUGCAUAUCAAUAAGCGGAGGAAAAGAAACUAACAAGGAUUCCCUUAGUAACGGCGAGUGAAGCGGGAAGAGCUCAAAUUUGAAAUCUUCAAGGUUUUACCUUGACGAAUUGUAGUUUAAAGAAGUGUUUUCUGCUGAAGUUUUGGUAAAAGUUCUUUGGAAUAGGACAUCAUAGAGGGUGAGAAUCCCGUAUUUGACCAUUAUUUUCAGCUUUGUGAUACACUUUCAAAGAGUCGGAUUGUUUGGGAAUGCAGUCCCAAAAUGGGUGGUAAAUUUCAUCUAAGGCUAAAUAUUGGCGAGAGACCGAUAGCGAACAAGUACCGUGAGGGAAAGAUGAAAAGAACUUUGAAAAGAGAGUUAAACAGUACGUGAAAUUGUCAAAAGGGAAGCGUUUGACACCAGUGUUGUUUUCUCGAAAAUCAAUUAAAAAUGGCUCGAUUUUGUAUUGUUGAGACCUUAAAAGCUCACUGUACAUUUUUCGUGUCUUUUUUAAUGCACUUUUCGUUUAACAAGUCAACAUCAGUUCCUUUUGUUGUAAAAGGGUCAUUGGAAGGUGGCUUUCUUUUCGGAGAAAGUGUUUAUAGCCUUUGGCCUCUGCAAUCGGAGAGACUGAGGUCUGCAGCGUAGACUCUUCGGGGUUAGAUACAUUUGUGCUAAGUUAUAGCUUUUUAUAGACAACUUGUUGACUAUAAUUAGUCUUGUAGCUUACUCGCUUAUGCUAUUUUACCUACGCUUAGGAUGUUGAACUACUGAGACAUAGA